GUCCCCAAAGGUCCAGAACUCAGCCUCAAGGAAUUAGCCAAAUUUUCAGCAUUUUCGCCCGUUUUCAUCCGUUUUCGCUCGUUUCACCUCCGAUUUAUUUCAAAUCGAACCGAGACUCUCCAAACAUAUUUUUGAGCAUGUUUUCAUCAUAUCUUCAUCCACGCUAAUGUCGGAUUUAGCUCAUGGUCCAAUAUAGCAUUUCGGAUUUCGUUUUCGCGCCUACGCGCACCGAAACGCCCAUUUCUCCCAAACUUCACCGAACUUCACCGAAACCAUUCAAAUGGCUCUCCAACCAAAUGUACACCGUAACUUCAU
rnacentral:lncRNA from 1 species